rnacentral:rRNA from 1 species
GACGAACGCUGGCGGCGUGCUUAACACAUGCAAGUCGAACGGAACGGCCCUGUUUUUGUGGGGUGCUCGCGUGGCGAAAGGGUGAGUUAAACGUGAGUAAACUGGCCCCGCCCUUGGGGUAACCUCAUGAAAAUGGGGCUAAUAACGGGUAGGAGCUCCUGUUGCACGGUGGGGGUUGGAGAGAUUAGGCGGUUGGGGCUGGUCUGGGGGCUUAUCAGCUUGUUGGCGGGGUAGUGGUUUACGGAGGCUUUGACGGGUAGCCGGCUUGAGAGGGUGAGAGGCCACGCUGGGACUGAGAUAGGGCCCAGACGCGGACGGGAGGCAGCAGUGGGGGAAAUUGCACAAUGGGCGGGAGCCGGAUGCAGCAACGCCGCGUGCGUGAUGACGGCCUUCGGGUUGUAAACCGCUUUCGCCUGUUACUGAGCGGGAGGGACGGAAAUGGGUAAAGAAGCACCGGCUAACUACGUG